GGCUGAGGAUUCUGAUGGUGACCUCUACGGAUGCCUCCAACAGUGGAACGGUUCCUUGUCUAGACAAUGUGGUGAUACACCUGUCUACUGUGAGAAAAUAGUGACUCUGCAGAGUGAAAUUCCCACAAAAAUGGUCCUGGCACUACCACAUCUGGACAGUGAGGCAAUCAUCACAGCAGAGUCCUCCCAAUAUGAGGAAUUACAGCAGCAGUACAUGGACUUGCUGCAGAUAAAGAAUGAACUAGAAGAAAGCUGUAUAAAGAAAGAUAAGCUUCUCCGUGAUGUACAACAAGCCUUAGCAGAAGAGCAGGCCAAAAGAGAGGCAGCUGAGAAGGAAAAGCAGCUUCUUGAGGAAAGGUGUAAACAGCUGCAGAAAAGGGUAGAGCUUCUAGAAAAAUGUUUCAAGGAAUCUAUGAUCCAAAUGAAAGAGCAGAUAAAGAGAGAAAGAGAAGUCCUUCUGAAAGAGCAGAAUAAGAGGAUUGAGAGGCUUGAGGUAAGCCUGGCCUGGGAUUGGGCAUGGACUACAGAACAAAGCCCUAGAACAGCAGGAAGGGCGCGUUGA
rnacentral:lncRNA from 1 species